rnacentral:rRNA from 1 species
AUGAGGUGGUGGGAGAGCGUCAAGAGCCUGUUCGCCGACGGCGGCAACCUCGGUUGCCUGUCCUGCGUCGGGAGGAAGGCGCCCGAGGAUCUUUACUCCUACCCCAUGGAGCCCGCGAAGUGGAAACGAUCGCGGCGCGCCGCUCCGGCGGCGGAGGAGGAGCCGGGCGCCAUCGAGGUGCCGGCGGUGGCGCUCCGGGAGGUGAACGAGCUAACCGGCUCCUUCGACAGGGAGAAGCUGAUCGGGGAGGGGUCGUACGCCAAGGUGUACAAGGUGACGCUGCGGAGCGCGAGGCUCGCCGUGGUGAAGAAGCUGGAGAAGGCGUCCAAGCACGCCUCCAACGACGUCUUCCGCCGGCAGCUGUCUGUGGCGUCCAGGCUGCGACACGAGAGUUUCGUCCGCCUGCUCGGCUACACCAUAAGCGGCGACCUCCGCGUGCUCGUCUACGAGUUCGCCACCAUGGGCACCCUCCACGACGCCCUGCACGGGCCGAGGGAGGGCGUGGGGGCGCGGGAGGAGGUGGAGGAGAGGCCGGUGCUGAGCUGGGCGCACCGGGUGCAGAUCGCGCUGGACGCGGCGAGGGGGCUGGAGUACCUGCACGAGAAGGCGUCGCCGCCGGUGGUCCACAAGGACGUGCGCUCCACCAACGUGCUGCUCUUCGACGGCAUGAGGGCCAAGAUCGCCGACUACAACAUGUUCAGCCAGGCCGCCGACAUGGCGCGACUCAACCGCUCCACGCACACGCUCGGCUCCUUCGGCUACCAGGCGCCCGAGUACGCGAUGAGCGGUCAGAUGACGGACAAGAGCGACGUGUACAGUUUCGGCAUCGUCCUUCUGGAGCUCUUGACGGGCAGGAAGCCGCUGGAUCGGACGUUGCCGCAGGGGCAGCGCAGCCUAGUCAACUGGGCAUCUCCGCUGCUGACUGAAGACAGAGCUCAGGAAUGCAUCGACCCGAGGCUCGGCGACAAGUACCCUGCCACCGGAGCGCUCAAGCUAGGGAGGAUCGCAGUGCAGUGCCUCCAGUAUGACCCAACCUACCGGCCGUCCAUGGGCACCGUCGCCCGCGUGAUCAACUACGCCGUCGUGCGGGACCAGCAGGGCGUGGUCUGA